GAUGAACGCUGACGGAAUGCUUAACACAUGCAAGUCAACUUGAAUUUGGGUUUUUAACUUAAGUUUGGGUGGCGGACGGGUGAGUAACGCGUAAAGAACUUGCCUCACAGCUAGGGACAACAUUUGGAAACGAAUGCUAAUACCUAAUAUUAUGAUAAUAGGGCAUCCUAUAAUUAUGAAAGCUAUAAGCGCUGUGAGAGAGCUUUGCGUCCCAUUAGCUAGUUGGAGAGGUAACGGCUCACCAAGGCGAUGAUGGGUAGCCGGCCUGAGAGGGUGAUCGGCCACAAGGGGACUGAGACACGGUCCUUACUCCUACGGGAUGCAGCAGUGUUGAAUAUUGGACUAUGGACCUAGAGUCUGAUCCAGCUAUUCUGUGUGCACGAUGAAAUUUUUCGGAAUGUAAGUGCUUUCUGUUGGGAAUAAAGAAAUGAUGGUACUUACAGAAGAAGUGACUGCUAAAUACGUGCCAUCAUUCGCGGUUAUACUGAUGUCACGAGCGUUUUCCGUUUUAUUUUUGCGUUAAGCGCGUCUAGUUUGUUAUGUCAGUCUGAUGUGAAAAUUCCGGGUUCAACCUGUUUUGCGUUGGAACUGUAUAACUUUAGUACUGUAUAGGUAAGCUGAUCUACAAGUGUGAAAGGUGAAAUGCCGUUGACAUUUGUGGUGACGCCUAAUGGGGAAUUCCCCCUGUCUGGAAUCAUUACGUUGUCUGCAUGUGUGACAGUGUGGUUAGCAUUGAGACUAUAGAUCCGUGUUGUUCCAUGGGGGAGUGUGCUUUGUGUGUGUCCGGUUAUGUUGACCUCUGAGUGUGUGUGGUGGUUCCGUUCCUGUGUAAUAUAACUACUUUUUGAUAGAUCUAAUUAUAUGUGUCGGGUCCUUUAGAUGUUAUGUUGUGCACCUGUC
rnacentral:rRNA from 1 species